GAGUAACUGGUUUUGAUCCACCUGCCACAAUUUUAUCCUCCAAUUGUAAGGCCAACGAGCAAAAGAAAGAAACAUUAAUUCAUAUAUAACUCCACAACAAUGACCAUAUGCUGCAUAAAUGAGCCAUAUUCCAUUGGCAUACAUAAUAUACCAUUAAAGCACAUGAUGAGUGGGAAGACGUCAGUUUAGAGCUUUCUCUUCUUUUUCUUCUCUUUU
rnacentral:misc_RNA from 1 species